GCCCCCAUAGCCCAAUCGGUAGAGGCAAGCGACUUAAAAUCGCUACAGUCAGGGUUCGAACCCCUGUGGGGGUACCA
rnacentral:tRNA from 1 species